rnacentral:tRNA from 1 species
GGGGGAUUAGCUCAGUUGGGAGAGCGAUGCGUUCGCAACGCAUAGGUCGAGGGUUCGAAUCCCUUAUCCUCCACCA